ensembl:lncRNA
UAUAAGAAAUAUGAUAUUCAAUUUUAUUAACAAAAUAAAUAAUUUAAAUGAUAUAAGUUCGAAAUUAGAUGAUGCAAUAUUAAAAUACGAAGUUAGUCAAUUAAAUUAUAGUAAAACUAAAAAAGCUAUUAAAACAUUAAAAUGUUAUAAUAAUAAAGUCCAAAAAAAAAUUGAUGAAAAAGAACUUAUAUUGGAAAAACAAAGUAAUGUACUUAAUAGAAAAAAAAAAAAAAUCGAAGCAUUAACAAAUGAAUUAAAUCAGUUAAAAAAUGUGUAUGAUGAUAGAGAAACUAGAAAACAAGAAAUAGAAUUAAUAAAAAAAUAUAAGGAAAAAAUAAAUGAAUUAAAAAAGAUUGAAAUGAUUAAAGGAUGUGUUGUGAGUAAUUUUAAUAAAUAUGGAAUUAACAUUGAAUUACUGAAUUAUAAUUAUUACAACUUUUUAACAUUAUAUGAUUAUCAAAGCGGUAAUAGUAAUACAUGUUCAAGUAAUAACAUUGGUGCUGAUGAUUCUUUUUUUUCGAGAAUUAAUUGCAUAUGGAAUAAUAAAGGCGACAUUAAUAAUAAUAAUAAUUUAUGGGACGCUAAUAUAAAUGGAGGUAUUUUAAAUAUUGAUGGCACGUUAGCCCCGAAUGGGUUUAACACAACACGUAUAGGUGUGAAUGGUAACAUGAGCAACGGUAACGUGAACACUGGUAACGUGAACACUGGUAACGUGAACACUGGUAACGUGAACAAUGGUAACGUGAACAAUGGUAACGUGAACAAUGGUAACGUGAACAAUGGUAACGUGAACAAUGGUAACGUGAAACAAACGUUUUUAACAGAGUUAAAUGGUACCAACAACAAAGAUGAUAAAAAUAAACGAGAAACAAGCAUAGAAAGAGAGAUUAUGAUAAAAAAAAUAAAAAACUUAUUUUUAUUUAAUAAUAGUAAUAAUAAUAAUAAUAAUAAUAGUAAUAAUAAUAAUAAUAAUAAUAAUAAUAACGNNNNNNNNNNNNNNNNNNNNNNNNNNNNNNNNNNNNNNNNNNNNNNNNNNNNNNNNNNNNNNNNNNNNNNNNNNNNNNNNNNNNNNNNNNNNNNNNNNNNUAAUAACGUGGGAACGCAAAAUAUAAAUAACACAAAUGAUAAUAUAACCGACAGAAACAAGAAAGAUGUUACCAAGUGCACAAAAUUAAACUUCAUUGAAAAUCACAGUGAAAUAUGUGAUAUAAACGAAUUAUAUGAAAAAGAAUAUAAAUUAAAAAUGUUUAAUAAUAAGAGAGAUAAGAAAAAAAAUGCAUUUCUGAGUAAUAAAAGUUUAGAAGAAGAUUUAAAUUUUAAAUGGCCAUAUAAUGUAACUAUGGAUAUAAUAUUUUUAGAUAUUUCUACAGUAACAAAAAGUGGUGGUAAUACACAAGAUAAUUUUAAUAAUAAUCAACAAACCUCGAAUAAUAUUAUUAACAGUUCACCAUUCAAAUUAAAAAACAUAACACAUUUUUUAGCUAAUAAAAUGCACAUACGUACUACCGCCGAACCAACCGAAUGUAGUAAUAAAUAUUUAAAUUUAUUUAGACCAUACAAAAUAUUAAUAGAUUCAUUUAAGAUUUUUAAAGAAAUUAAUAUGAACACGUAUUAUAAAUAUAUUAAUAAUGAAAAUUUAUAUUACCAUAUUUGGAAUAAAAUAUAUGACAGGGAUAACUAUGUUAUAAAAAUUAAUAAUGUACAAACACAUAGGAAUAGUAUACAUAAAAAAAGAAAACUAGAUAAUUAUUAUGACUUCAAAAAUAUAGAACAAUUUUCAUAUUAUUGUAAUAAUACAUUUAUGGGUGUAGAAUGGAAAUUACAAUUAGAAAUAUUAAAAUAUAAAUUGUUAGAAGUUAUUAAUAGAAGAUUACAGAAAUAUACUAAUAAAGAUUAUAAAAGUGUAAAUAACAAUUUGAAUGAUGUGACUACAAAUGGUAAUAUGAAUACACAUAGUCAUGUGAAUGUACAUACAAGUUUGAACACAAACGUAAAUACAAACUCGAACGUGCAUGUAAAUAAUAUAAACAUAAGUAAUAAAAAAGAUAAUAACAACAGUUCUAAUAAUAAACCAAGCAAAGAAGCAUUAAUGUAUUUAAUCGAAGAAGCUGAGUAUUCUUUUUUUUUAUUAAAUCAUAUUAUGUAUCAAUAUAAACAAUUGUUAAAAUGUUUUUUAUAUUUGUCUAACACUUAUUUUGAUUAUUAUCAAAGCAUAAUUGUAUUCAAAACUAUUAUUAUGUCUAACCAUGUGAGCAACCAUUCCUUUUGGUUGCAUUUAUAUGUAAGUUUCUGCACAAUUACAUGUGCCGGCUGUCGCGGUGACAUGGUGGCAUACGUAUAUGUGUAUACAUUAUAUACAUUAUAUACAUUAUAUCCAUUAUAUACAUUAUAUACANNNNNNNNNNAUACAUUAUAUACAUUAUAUCCAUUAUAUACAUUAUAUACAUUAUAUACAUUAUAUACAUUAUAUACAUUAUAUACAUUAUAUACAUUAUAUACAUUAUAUACAUUAUAUACAUUAUAUACAUUAUAUACAUUAUAUACAUUAUAUACAUUAUAUCCAUUAUAUACAUUAUAUACAUUAUAUACAUAUGUACUAAUACACACAUGCGUUAACAAACACACCCACAAACCAUCUCCCUACUUUUACAUUUCAGAUAAACGUUGAAGACUCUUUUACAUAUGGAUCAUUAUUUCACGGAAUCGUAGAGAUAAAAAUUGAAAGUGUUGAUGAUGAUGAUAAAUAUAAUGAAGAUUGCAAUACGUUUAAUAAUGACAUUAGAAAUAAGCUGCAACAUUGUAUUUCUACACUUAAAACAAAGUAAAAAAAAAAAAAAAAAAAAAAAAAAAAAAAGUACCUAUUUAGUGCAGAAGCACUACAUAUUAUGUUACAUACAAUGAGCAACUUAAAUUGGUGUAUAUAUAAAUAUAAAUCUUUUUUAUAAUCACCUUAUUAAAAUAAGUGCACAUAUGCGUAUGUAUAUACGUACGUACGUACGUACCGUUUGUCAUACCUAAUUUAUAUUUUUCCUAAUUUGUUUAUUUGAUUGUUUUAUUUUAUUCCUUUUUAUAGAUCGCUAGAUAUUACAGAAAGAAUAAACUCUCAUAACAUAGUUGAUAUAAUUUAUGC